rnacentral:rRNA from 1 species
AUUGAACGCUGGCGGCAUGCCUUACACAUGCAAGUCGAACGGCAGCACGGGAGCAAUCCUGGUGGCGAGUGGCGAACGGGUGAGUAAUAUAUCGGAACGUGCCCAGUAGUGGGGGAUAGCCCGGCGAAAGCCGGAUUAAUACCGCAUGCGACCUGAGGGUGAAAGCGGGGGAGUCGCAAGACCUCGCGCUAUUGGAGCGGCCGAUAUCAGAUUAGCUAGUUGGUGGGGUAAAGGGCCUACCAAGGCUACGAUCUGUAGUUGGUCUGAGAGGACGACCAGCCACACUGGGACUGAGACACGGCCCAGACUCCUACGGGAGGCAGCAGUGGGGAAUUUUGGACAAUGGGCGCAAGCCUGAUCCAGCAAUGCCGCGUGCAGGAAGAAGGCCUGGUUGUAAACUAGCUUUGUUCAGGGAAGGAAAUACUUCUUGGGCGUAA